UGGAGCUGAUCCCUGCUCCAGCCCUCAGUCCGUGCAGCGUUUCUGAGCCGCCUGGCAGUGCAAGCGUUCCUCCCUGUUGCCCUAAUUACAGCAGGGCAAUCACCGUGUUUUACUACUGUGCUGCCGCAAAAUGAUUUCCAGUAUUUAAAAAUAACAUCAGGCAAAUCAUUUGUCCCUGAGCCUCGUCCUCGGUGGAGUUUGCACCGGCAUCUUCCAGGCACGGAGCACCACAAGAAGGAAAAAAGGAAAAGCAUGGAGGCUUCACCGAGACGUGAACAUCUGUGACCCUGUCUGCUGAACCUUCAGGUCGCUGUGUGCCUUCCUGCACCGCUGCAUUUCUCCUCUGCAUGCUGCAGUCCCCUCCCUCAGAUCACUGGUCCCACUGCUUGGGAUGCAGCCUGGGAUGCUCUUGGUUUGUGGAUGAACCCACGAUAAGGUUGUUU